rnacentral:rRNA from 1 species
GUAGGUGGCAAGCGUUGUCCGGAAUUAUUGAGCGUAAAGCGCGCGCAGGCGGUUCUUUAAGUCUGAUGUGAAAGCCCACGGGCUCAACCGUGGAGGGUCAUUGGAAACUGGAGAACUUGAGUACAGAAGAGGAAAGCGGAAUUCCACGUGUAGCGGUGAAAUGCGUAGAGAUGUGGAGGAACACCAGUGGCGAAGGCGGCUUUCUGGUCUGUAACUGACGCUGAGGCGCGAAAGCGUGGGGAGCAAACAGGAUUAGAUACCCUGGUAGUCCACGCCGUAAACGAUGAGUGCUAAGUGUUAGGGGGUUUCCGCCCCUUAGUGCUGCAGCUAACGCAUUAAGCACUCCGCCUGGGGAGUACGGCCGCAAAGGCUG